rnacentral:rRNA from 1 species
UACGUAGGGUGCGAGCGUUAUCCGGAAUUAUUGGGCGUAAAGGGUGCGUAGGCGGCCUGAUAAGUUAGCAGUGGUAAAUCGAGGCUCAACCUCGCGGAAACUGGUAAUACUGUCUGGCUUGAGUACAGGAGAGGUUAACGGAACUCCAUGUGGAGCGGUAAAAUGUGAAGAUAUAUGGAAGAACAUCAAUAAUGGCGAAGGCAGUUAACUAUUCUGUUACUGACGUUGAGGCACGAAAGCGUGGGGAGCAAAACGG